rnacentral:rRNA from 1 species
CGGACGGGUGAGUAACACGUGGAUAACCUACCUAUAAGACUGGGAUAACUUCGGGAAACCGGAGCUAAUACCGGAUAAUAUAUUGAACCGCAUGGUUCAAUAGUGAAAGACGGUUUUGCUGUCACUUAUAGAUGGAUCCGCGUCGCAUUAGCUAGUUGGUAAGGUAACAGCUUACCAAGGCAACGAUGCGUAGCCGACCUGAGAGGGUGAUCGGCCACACUGGAACUGAGACACGGUCCAG